rnacentral:rRNA from 1 species
GCGGCGCGCCUAACACAUGCAAGUCGAACGAGAGAUGAGGAGCUUGCUCUUCAAAUCGAGUGGCGAACGGGUGAGUAACGCGUGAGGAACCUGCCUCAAAGAGGGGGACAACAGUUGGAAACGACUGCUAAUACCGCAUAAGCCCACGGCUCGGCAUCGAGCAGAGGGAAAAGGAGCAAUCCGCUUUGAGAUGGCCUCGCGUCCGAUUAGCUAGUUGGUGAGGUAACGGCCCACCAAGGCGACGAUCGGUAGCCGGACUGAGAGGUUGAACGGCCACAUUGGGACUGAGACACGGCCCAGACUCCUACGGGAGGCAGCAGUGGGGAAUAUUGCACAAUGGGGGAAACCCUGAUGCAGCGACGCCGCGUGGAGGAAGAAGGUCUUCGGAUUGUAAACUCCUGUUGUUGAGGAAGAUAAUGACGGUACUCAACAAGGAAGUGACGGCUAACUACGUGCCAGCAGCCGCGGUAAAACGUAGGUCACAAGCGUUGUCCGGAAUUACUGGGUGUAAAGGGAGCGCAGGCGGGAGAACAAGUUGGAAGUGAAAUCCAUGGGCUCAACCCAUGAACUGCUUUCAAAACUGUUUUUCUUGAGUAGUGCAGAGGUAGGCGGAAUUCCCGGUGUAGCGGUGGAAUGCGUAGAUAUCGGGAGGAACACCAGUGGCGAAGGCGGCCUACUGGGCACCAACUGACGCUGAGGCUCGAAAGUGUGGGUAGCAAACAGGAUUAGAUACCCUGGUAGUCCACACCGUAAACGAUGAUUACUAGGUGUUGGAGGAUUGACCCCUUCAGUGCCGCAGUUAACACAAUAAGUAAUCCACCUGGGGAGUACGACCGCAAGGUUGAAACUCAAAGGAAUUGACGGGGGCCCGCACAAGCAGUGGAGUAUGUGGUUUAAUUCGACGCAACGCGAAGAACCUUACCAAGUCUUGACAUCCCUUGACGAUGCUGGAAACAGUAUUUCUCUUCGGAGCAAGGAGACAGGUGGUGCAUGGUUGUCGUCAGCUCGUGUCGUGAGAUGUUGGGUUAAGUCCCGCAACGAGCGCAACCCUUAUGGUCAGUUACUACGCAAGAGGACUCUGGCCAGACUGCCGUUGACAAAACGGAGGAAGGUGGGGAUGACGUCAAAUCAUCAUGCCCUUUAUGACUUGGGCUACACACGUACUACAAUGGCGUUAAACAAAGAGAAGCAAGACCGCGAGGUGGAGCAAAACUCAGAAACAACGUCCCAGUUCGGACUGCAGGCUGCAACUCGCCUGCACGAAGUCGGAAUUGCUAGUAAUCGUGGAUCAGCAUGCCACGGUGAAUACGUUCCCAGGCCGUGCACA